AUUAAUUGUGGCUUAAAGAACAGGCCUUUAUUAUAAUGAGCAAUGUGAAGCGGGCAGUUCCAGAGCUGGGUGACUUGGAGAUUGGAUAUAUCCAUAAUGAGCAUCAUAUGAAACCAAACCAUCAACGCAGGUGGUUCAAAAGUGAGAGUGAGAGAGGGGAUGUCAGCAACAUGGCGGAAUACGAAGCUCCUGACUUUCCACCCACGGACAGAUGAAAUACAUGCCUAUUUACAGACUAUUCCCUCUGAAAGUGAGAAACUAGUUGAGAGACACCUGAUCACCAGGCAACUGAGAAAACAUCUGUCUUAAACAGUACGUGUGCACUCAAGCUUUACAGGAACUUUUGUGAGCUUCAGUUUGGUCAGAGAGGGAAGAGAAAAUACUCCAAACAAGGCCUUGCAGUGGAAGAAGGAAGAGGGAUGAUGUGGAGUCUCCCUGAAACCAGUGGACAGAUUUCCUCAGAAAACUCUUCCUGCCUAGGUUAUCAGUGAGUGUAUCCACCUCUGCAAAACACAGUGCAAUUACCAUUUAACCUGUCAUUGUAGGUACGGUGUCUGUAUUAGGAGGUGAGAUUAUCCCUGGGGGGAAGAAAUCCUGAAAGCUAUUAAUAAUGAUUCUGUAGUUAUUUGAAGAUAAUGAAAGACAUUACUCUGAGGAAUUAUCUGUGAUAGAUGGACAAAGUUAAGAUCUCAGUAAAGUUUGAGCCUGAAUACUGAAGUAUGAAAAGUGAAAGAAUGAAGUUAAGAACGUGGUUGUGUUGGGAUCUUGACCACACUUUGUCCACAGAAUGUGACUCUUUUUUCCUGAAAAUGCUGAGCAAUUGUGAAGUUGUGCUGUCUUGAUAAUUCACUGUUAAAAUAUACA